AACGAACGCUGGCGGCAUGCCUAACACAUGCAAGUCGAACGAGACCUUCGGGUCUCGUGGCGCACGGGUGCGUAACGCGUGGGAACCUGCCCUUAGGUUCGGAAUAACUCCCCGAAAGGGGUGCUAAUACCGGAUAAUGUCUUCGGACCAAAGAUUUAUCGCCUUUGGAUGGGCCCGCGUUGGAUUAGCUAGUUGGUAGGGUAAAAGCCUACCAAGGCGACGAUCCAUAGCUGGUCUGAGAGGAUGAUCAGCCACACUGGGACUGAGACACGGCCCAGACUCCUACGGGAGGCAGCAGUGGGGAAUAUUGGACCAUGGGCGAAAGCCUGAUCCAGCAAUGCCGCGUGAGUGAUGAAGGCCUUAGGGUUGUAAAGCUCUUUUAACCGGGAUGAUAAUGACAGUACCGGGAGAAUAAGCUCCGGCUAACUCCGUG
rnacentral:rRNA from 1 species